rnacentral:rRNA from 1 species
UGCAGUCGACGAUGAUCCGGUGCUUGCAUCGGGGAUUAGUGGCGAACGGGUGAGUAACACGUGAGUAACCUGCCCUUGACUCUGGGAUAAGCCUGGGAAACCGGGUCUAAUACUGGAUACGACCUAUCACCGCAUGGUGUGUGGGUGGAAAGAUUUAUUGGUUUUGGAUGGACUCGCGGCCUAUCAGCUUGUUGGUGGGGUAAUGGCUUACCAAGGCGACGACGGGUAGCCGGCCUGAGAGGGUGACCGGCCACACUGGGACUGAGACACGGCCCAGACUCCUACGGGAGGCAGCAGUGGGGAAUAUUGCACAAUGGGCGCAAGCCUGAUGCAGCGACGCCGCGUGAGGGAUGAAGGCCUUCGGGUUGUAAACCUCUUUCAGUAGGGAAGAAGCGAAAGUGACGGUACCUGCAGAAGAAGCGCCGGCUAACUACGUGCCAGCAGCCGCGGUAAUACGUAGGGCGCAAGCGUUAUCCGGAAUUAUUGGGCGUAAAGAGCUCGUAGGCGGUUUGUCGCGUCUGCCGUGAAAGUCCGGGGCUUAACCCCGGAUCUGCGGUGGGUACGGGCAGACUAGAGUGCAGUAGGGGAGACUGGAAUUCCUGGUGUAGCGGUGAAAUGCGCAGAUAUCAGGAGGAACACCGAUGGCGAAGGCAGGUCUCUGGGCUGUAACUGACGCUGAGGAGCGAAAGCAUGGGGAGCGAACAGGAUUAGAUACCCUGGUAGUCCAUGCCGUAAACGUUGGGCACUAGGUGUGGGGGACAUUCCACGUUUUCCGCGCCGUAGCUAACGCAUUAAGUGCCCCGCCUGGGGAGUACGGCCGCAAGGCUAAAACUCAAAGGAAUUGACGGGGGCCCGCACAAGCGGCGGAGCAUGCGGAUUAAUUCGAUGCAACGCGAAGAACCUUACCAAGGCUUGACAUGAACCGGAACAGUGCAGAGAUGUGCUGGCCGCUUGCGGCCGGUUUACAGGUGGUGCAUGGUUGUCGUCAGCUCGUGUCGUGAGAUGUUGGGUUAAGUCCCGCAACGAGCGCAACCCUCGUUCCAUGUUGCCAGCGGGUUAUGCCGGGGACUCAUGGGAGACUGCCGGGGUCAACUCGGAGGAAGGUGGGGACGACGUCAAAUCAUCAUGCCCCUUAUGUCUUGGGCUUCACGCAUGCUACAAUGGCCGGUACAAAGGGUUGCGAUACUGUG